ACGUAGGGUGCAAGCGUUAAUCGGAAUUACUGGGCGUAAAGCGUGCGCAGGCGGUGAUGUAAGACAGGUGUGAAAUCCCCGGGCUUAACCUGGGAACUGCAUUCGAUACUGCCUUGCUAGAGUACUGGAGAGGAGACUGGAAUUUACGGUGUAGCAGUGAAAUGCGUAGAUAUCGUAAGGAAGACCAGUGGCGAAGGCGAGUCUCUGGACAGUUACUGACGCUGAGGCACGAAGGCCAGGGGAGCAAACGGGA
rnacentral:rRNA from 1 species